rnacentral:rRNA from 1 species
AUUGAACGCUGGCGGCAUGCCUUACACAUGCAAGUCGAACGGUAACAGGUCUUCGGAUGCUGACGAGUGGCGAACGGGUGAGUAAUACAUCGGAACGUGCCUAGUAGUGGGGGAUAACUACUCGAAAGAGUGGCUAAUACCGCAUGAGAUCUACGGAUGAAAGCAGGGGAUCGCAAGACCUUGUGCUACUAGAGCGGCCGAUGGCAGAUUAGGUAGUUGGUGGGAUAAAAGCUUACCAAGCCGACGAUCUGUAGCUGGUCUGAGAGGACGGUCAGCCACACUGGGACUGAGACAAGGCCCAGACUCCUACGGGAGGCAGCAGUGGGGAAUUUUGGACAAUGGGCGCGAGCCUGAUCCAGCAAUGCCGCGUGCAGGAUGAAGGCCUUCGGGUUGUAAACUGCUUUUGUACGGAACGAAAAGCCCUGGGUUAAUACCCUGGGGUCAUGACGGUACCGUAAGAAUAAGCACCGGCUAACUACGUGCCAGCCGCCGCAGUAAGAC